UGGACCUCCAGCCACGGCCGGGCCAGACUUGUGGACACAGGCGCAGUGUCACAUACAGACCACGGGGAGACAUGGCACUAGGGGACAAACGGACGUGACACCACAAUGCACAGGGCAGGCCACAGAGCUCGAGGGACGUGGGCAGGGGCCUUUUGGCAUUUCUGCGCUGGAAUCAUGUGAGACAAGGGUGGUGGCCGCUCUGGAGGUGCCUGGGGGGUUCCCUCAUGACCCCUCUGGGCUUAGUCCAUCCUCCACACUGUUGUGCAGCUUCUCCACCUCCUGGUAGAGGAUAAAUACUGUUACCCUUAUCCCUGGUCACAUCCAGGGAGACGCGGUCCAGCGGCCCAGGCGGGGGACAGUGCCGUUCUAGAGGUCCUUGAGCCCCUCCUUCCUCAGGAUCUGCAGUCAUAGGCCGGUGUGUUCCGCAUUUGUGCUGCUCCAGGCCCCGCAUCCGGGUCUCGAUCCCAUCCAGAGGAGCGUUUCCCAAGACACUGGCUGCGCCCACAAUGGCUCCGAAGACCCCAGCGACCAGCGGGUCCAUGGGCUUGCUGGGGUUGUCCCCUCGGUACCAGCUGUGCAGGGAGGUCAGGAGGAGAAGCAGACGGCCUGGUUCCAGCCCUGCUUCAGCGUGGGUGCCAUGAGGCCCCGGUGAGUCCCCUUGUUCUCGCACAAUCUCUCUAACCUGGUGGGAGACUCCUCUGCACUGGAGGUCUGGAAAGGUCUGGCCGUGGAUGAACUUCACCUUGAUGGUGUCCAUGGAACAUACGACCACCAUGGCCUCGGCCACGCCAGCGCCCUGGCCGCACCGCAGCCAGCGCUGCCGUCAGGCCGUCCCUGGGCAUCCCGCGUCUGGCUGCUGUGGAACUGGAACAUUCAGAACCCCAACGCCGCCCUGGAGACAAGAGCCGCAGAGCAGGGAGCUGAGGCCGCGGUGCCGGCCCCCGACGCCAUGACCGCGACAGUGCGCACGCGGGAUCCAUGCGCGGUGCCCGGCUGGUGCCAGCGCUCGUCCGGCUGCAGCUACGACCUCCCGCGCUCCGUGGGGAGCGGACGCCCAUUUCAAUGCCGCCGGCCAGGCCGCCUGCCUGGUGUCGCCUUCCCCGGAGCCUCUGCUGCGCCUUCCCGGACGCGGCGCGGCGUGGCCACGGCGGGCGGGAGGCGGGCGCCCGCUGUGAUCUGAAGUCCCAGCCUCCUAAACUCCGCACUGGGACCUUAAUUUGGUUUUAACACAAAUGAAGAUCUCACUAAAGAUAAAAAGGGAUGUCUUGGCUUCUAAUUUUUGUUAAAAGCAAUAGCAUAUGUUGUAUAGGAUAGUGCAUUGGGGUAAAUCUUUUUUUAAUUAUUUUUAUUUUUUCAUCAGCCCACUGACAUUGAAAGGGGAUAGUUUUUAGGUUAUUGACGAGCAGUUUUCUCUCAGAUAACUGCCUUAGUAUAGGGGUUUGUGGUCACGUUGAUGAGAGCGUAGGCUGGGGUUAAAAGUCGUUAUGGCAGUAACAACCUUCUGAGGACCAGGAAAUUCAAAUCCCUCUCAUGAUACUUUGCUAAUAUCUCCCGAGUUUGCUGUGCCUUCCCUUUGUACCUCUUCCCACACGUGGUUUCUUGCACUUGGCCCAGCUAUAUUCCACUGUUUUGACUCCAUGCUUCUUAGCCUGGUGGCAGUGGUGAGGGAGUGAGGAGAUCUCUAAUGUUCUGAGGAAGCCUCAGACUUAGCACUGUGAACUGGGGUGUGGGGUUACUGACCGUUGAAGAGUUUCCUGCCCAUCCUGUACAUGCAAUGCCAGGACAAGAGCACAUUCCUGUCCCUCCUUGUCCAUGGUAGGGGAAACGUGCUCCUUCUCCAUGCUCUUAACUCCCAGUUGAAGUGGGCCUUGAACAGUGCCCUGUAAAUUAAUGGUUUCUUUUCUUUAUGGGAGAUGCAUCUGUGCAGAAAUGUGGGUGUUGGCCUUGUUCCUUCACCCUCAGUUCCAUGAGCUUUUCCCCAGUGCCCUUUGGCUCAGGUUUGGAUGCUCUUUCUCUGCAGAUUAGGCCUCCUGUUUUAUAGGAGAGAUGUGAGGGCUGUGUCUCCAGAGUUGCAGUAGUGGAUGGGAUAGUGGUCCCUCCCCAUCAGCACUGUGGGACGUUUAAAGUAUUGCUGUGUGUUUCAAGUGGAGGAGGUCAUAUUACAACUGACAUUUGUCCUUGACUACUGGACAUAUCACACCAGCCCUGAUUGCAGUUAUACUUGAAGCCAGAUCUACCCUUAACGUAUAUUCAUUUUACUAUUCAAUAAAUAUUAACUUAUCAUGAA
rnacentral:lncRNA from 1 species